GUCGAGCGAGGUUACUGUUUUGGAUCCCUUCGGGGUGAAGAAGCUUUAACCUAGCGGCGGACGGGUGAGUAACGCGUGGGUAACCUACCCCAAAGUCCGGGAUAACAGCGGGAAACCGCUGCUAAUACCGGAUGCCUUUACCUUGGGGCAUCUUGAGGUAAAGAAAGGUAACGCUUUGGGAUGGGCCCGCGUCCCAUUAGCUAGUUGGUGAGGUAACGGCUCACCAAGGCGACGAUGGGUAGCCGGCCUGAGAGGGUGGACGGCCACACUGGGACUGAGACACGGCCCAGACUCCUACGGGAGGCAGCAGUAGGGAAUAUUGCGCAAUGGACGGAAGUCUGACGCAGCGACGCCGCGUGAGCGAUGAAGGUCUUCGGAUCGUAAAGCUCUGUCCUUGGGGAAGAAGGCGAAAGCUUGACGGUACCCAAGAAGAAAGCCCCGGCUAACUACGUGCCAGCAGCCGCGGUAAUACGUAGGGGGCGAGCGUUGUCCGGAAUUACUGGGCGUAAAGGGUGCGUAGGCGGCCCGUUAAGUCGGAUGUGAAAGCCCGCGGCUUAACCGCGGAAUGGCAUUCGAAACUGGAGGGCUUGAGUGUCGGAGAGGGUAGUGGAAUUCCCAGUGUAGCGGUGAAAUGCGUAGAUAUUGGGAGGA
rnacentral:rRNA from 1 species